CAAUUGAAUUAUAUUACUUGAACAUAAAAGACUUAGAAAACGUCUUAGAAAAAUCUAGACUUCUAGAUUUUAGAUCUAACAAAAACAGUUUUGAACAAGGAAAGAGGCAAGAGAAUACCGAACAAGAUGAAGGUUGCCAUGGUGUUAGCUCUGAUCAUGCUCAGCGUGGCUCUUUGUCCCGCCAUAUCUGGAACUGGAAUGAGUGGCUGCAGUUUAAAGUGCUCAGGAAUCAUUGCCCAUUGCCAUGACAAAAGACAUGAAUGUAUGGAAACUUUUAAAGACUGUCUGUCGGUCUGCCAAGGAAGCGACUGGAGGCGAUAUAGAUUCUCUCACGAGGGAUAACAUCGCGGGAUUCCCGCGGGAUUAUAGUCAACUUGGAUCAUCAGACUUUUUAUAAAUGACUCAAAAGUUUGAUAUCAUCCAGAGAAURAGUUAUACAUAUCCCGAAGAAUAUUAAAGGGAUAAGUAAGAGCUGUCUCGCGGGAUAUAUCGGUACAACGUGCACAAUGACCCGCGGGACGUAAUAGGAUAACUUAUUAGAGAUUACUUGUAAAAUCCUCAAGGGAUGCGAAAUAAUAUAAAGAAAAACCGUGAAACAAAACAAAUAUUUUUUUAAAACUUAUGUAACUUUA